rnacentral:RNase_P_RNA from 1 species
AAAACAAGCCGUCUUGUCGCUCCGGCCGGUAUCAUGCCGCGCAGGGGAGGAAAGUCCGGACAACACAGAGCACCACACUUCCUAACGGGAAGGUCUCCGCUGAGAAAUUGGCUGGGAACAGAUAGUGCCGCAGAGAACUAUGUUUCCUUUUGAAUGCCGUAGUUGGAGGCUCUCCUUCGCUACGCUUCGGAGGGUAAAAGUGAAAACGUGAGGUAAGAGCUCACGGCAGGCUUUGGCAACAGAGCUUGCGGGUAAACCUUGUGGGUUGUAAGGCUAUGUAUACAGCAUCUAUGCAGCAUGCGCGCAAGCGUACUGCUACAUGGGGGAGUUGCUCGCUCCACGCUGCGGGUAAGCUGCAAGAGGCCGCCAGUGAUGACGGUCCCAGAUAAAUGACAGGAUGCCGGCUCAAUACCGGUAACAGAAUCCGGCUUACAGGCUUGUUUUUAUU